rnacentral:rRNA from 1 species
UACGAAGGGUCCAAGCGUUAUCCGGAUUUAUUGGGUUUAAAGGGUGCGUAGGCGGCUUAUUAAGUCAGUGGUGAAAGACUUCAGCUUAACUGAAGAACUGCCAUUGAUACUGAUGAGCUUGAGUAUACUUGAGGUGGGCGGAAUGUGUCAUGUAGCGGUGAAAUGCUUAGAUAUGACACAGAACACCGAUUGCGAAGGCAGCUCGCUAAAGUAUAAACUGACGCUGAUGCACGAAAGCGUGGGGGAGCAAACAGG